rnacentral:lncRNA from 13 species
CUUCUGGAUAGGUGACCACAUCAAGGUGCUAGGAGGGAGCAUCACACCCCCUCCCCCAUCGACCAAGACUUGCCCAUGAAUCUCUUCUGCAUGUCUGUUCCUGAGUUGUAUCCUUUGUAGUAAUCCAGUCAAUUUAAGAGAAGUGUUUUCCUGAGCUCUGUGAGUCAUUCUAGCAAACUAUUGAACAGGAGGAGGGUUUCAUAGUAACUCUGGAUUUAUAGCCAGUCUUUCAGAUGUAUGGGAGGUUCAAACGUGCAACGGCAUCAGAAAUGAGGACAGUCUUGCGGGACUGAGCCCUUUUACUUAUGGGAUCUGAUGCUAAUGCCAGGUAGUUAGCGUUAAAAUUCAAUUAAACUGUCGGACAUCCAGCAAGGGCCCAGGAAGCUGGAGAAUCACUUGGUGUGUUAAAAAAAAAAAAAAACAAAAAAAAAAAACAAAAAAAAAAAACACAUUUGCUAUCGGAAGCGGCGUACUGAGAGUGGCAGGAGGCAGCCAAAUGCUUAGGCAGAUAGGGGCAGGUCCCUAGUGAAACCCCACCUCCAACUGAAUACCAACCCGUAAAGCCUGAAAGCUAAGCUACACGUUAAAUCCUCAGACAGAAUUGAGAACUUGUCUUCCUGUUUGGCGUGCUUUCCUCUGAUUGGUCCCCACCCUUCACCUGUGGUAUAUGUACCUAGCUUUCCCAAUUGGCUUUUCUACACUGUUUGCCAUGCCCACCUUUGAUGGUGUCUUUGCUUUAACCUUGUGUUCAUACUCACAAACCAGUCAGCAUGCACUUUACAUUCUAGAGUCCAUAAAAGGCCAGGACCCAGACGCACGGGGGUCUUUCACACCUUCAGGAAAGGAAAAUUGUGAUGGGUCAUCAUCUUGUCUACGCGAUUUCACUUGCAAAAUUCCCUUAGUGCAUAAAUUACUUCAAUUUCAAAUGAGACAACAUGAAUACCACAUUACAACCUGGUAA